CGCGGCCUAUCAGCUUGUUGGUGAGGUAACGGCUCACCAAGGCGACGACGGGUAACCGGCCUGAGAGGGUGACCGGUCACACUGGGACUGAGACACGGCCCAGACUCCUACGGGAGGCAGCAGUGGGGAAUAUUGCACAAUGGGCGCAAGCCUGAUGCAGCAACGCCGCGUGAGGGAUGACGGCCUUCGGGUUGUAAACCUCUUUUAGCAGGGAAGAAGCGAAAGUGACGGUACCUGCAGAAAAAGCACCGGCUAACUACGUGCCAGCAGCCGCGGUAAUACGUAGGGACCGAGCGUUGUCCGGAUUUAUUGGGCGUAAAGAGCUCGUAGGCGGUUCUGUAAGUCGGAUGUGAAAACUCAGGGCUCAACCCUGAGACGCCAUCUGAUACUGCAGUGACUAGAGUCCGGUAGAGGAAGAUGGAAUUCCUGGUGUAGCGGUGGAAUGCGCAGAUAUCAGGAGGAACACCAAUGGCGAAGGCGGCACUCUGGGCCGGUACUGACGCUGAGGAGCGAAAGCAUGGGGAGCAAACAGGAUUAGAUACCCUGGUAGUCCAUGCCGUAAACGUUGGGCACUAGGUAUGGGACCAUAUCAACGGGUUCCGUGCCGUAGCUAACGCAUUAAGUGCCCCGCCUGGGGAGUACGG
rnacentral:rRNA from 1 species